rnacentral:rRNA from 1 species
UACGUAGGGUGCGAGCGUUAAUCGGAAUUACUGGGCGUAAAGCGCACGUAGGCGGAUAUUUAAGUCAGGGGUGAAAUCCCAGAGCUCAACUCUGGAACUGCCUUUGAUACUGGGUAUCUUGAGUAUGGAAGAGGUAAGUGGAAUUGCGAGUGUAGAGGUGAAAUUCGUAGAUAUUCGCAGGAACACCAGUGGCGAAGGCGGCUUACUGGUCCAUAACUGACGCUGAGGUGCGAAAGCGUGGGGGAGCAAACAGG